rnacentral:rRNA from 1 species
CCUGCCUUCAGGAUGGGGACAACAGACGGAAACGACUGCCUAAUACCGAAUACGUUCCUUAGGUCGCAUGACUUUAGGAAGAAAGGGUGGCCUCUACUUGUAAGCUAUCGCCUGGAAGAGGGGUUUGCGUCUGAUUAGGUAGUUGGUGAGGUAACGGCCCACCAAGCCGACGAUCAGUAGCCGGUCUGAGAGGAUGAACGGCCACACUGGAACUGAGACACGGUCCAGACUCCUACGGGAGGCAGCAGUGGGGAAUCUUCGCAAUGGGCGAAAGCCUGACGGAGCAACGCCGCGUGAGUGAUGACGGCCUUCGGGUUGUAAAGUUCUGUUAUACGGGACGAAUGGCGUAACGGUCAAUACCCGUUACGAGUGACGGUACCGUAAGAGAAAGCCACGGCUAACUACGUG